rnacentral:rRNA from 1 species
GACGAACGCUGGCGGCGUGCUUAACACAUGCAAGUCGAACGGAAAGGCCCUGCUUUUGUGGGGUGCUCAAGUGGCGAACGGGUGAGUAACACGUGAGUAACCUGCCCUUGACUUUGGGAUAACUUCAGGAAACUGGGGCUAAUACCGGAUAGGAGCUCCUGCUGCAUGGUGGGGGUUGGAAAGUUUCGGCGGUUGGGGAUGGACUCGCGGCUUAUCAGCUUGUUGGUGGGGUAGUGGCUUACCAAGGCUUUGACGGGUAGCCGGCCUGAGAGGGUGACCGGCCACAUUGAGACUGAGAUACGGCCCAGACUCCUACGGGAGGCAGCAGUGGGGAAUAUUGCACAAUGGGCGGAAGCCUGAUGCAGCAACGCCGCGUGCGGGAUGACGGCCUUCGGGUUGUAAACCGCUUUCGCCUGUGACGAAGCGUGAGUGACGGUAAUGGGUAAAGAAGCACCGGCUAACUACGUG